AGAUCAUUAAUAGAAAUAAAAUAAUUUAGUUUUACUUUAAACCAAAUAGCUCUUGAUAUCAAAUUUGAUUGAAUACCUCCUAUUAUGGAUUUAACAAGACAGUGCAGCUUGGGGGAAGCCCCGGUAUUGGUUUUCCACGACCUAUCCCCCAGCUGAGCCUCGAUCAAACCAGCCAACCAAAUAUCCUCCUUACCUCUCUGGCUAUAUCGAUUUGAGGAGUGCUAGUUGAGUGCAGUGGAGCCAUGCCUUGAUAGACAUUGAUCAAAGUAUGUCUUCCAAUAGAUCUGACCUAGAUGUGGAAAUGAAUCCUUCUUGUGCGCUUUCAAAUCUUUCAUCAACUUAAGGGUUCUCCCGGGGAACUCGCCCUUGAAAGUGGGCAGCAGUAGAUUAAUUAGUAGCGGUAGGUGGGAACUCUUCUUUCUCACAGCUUCGGUGAAAGAGGUCUGGUAAACCUUUUAUCUAAUAAAACUAUUAGUAUUGGUAUGUCUUUUCCAGCAAUAAAAAGAGAUUCUAUAAUAAUCAUAAUAAUACCUAUAUGUAUAUAUCUAACUU
rnacentral:lncRNA from 1 species